UAGAGAGCUGUGGUUCUAGGAGCCCUUUGAGGAGCAUGCUGUGACCCCAGGAGCCUGGGUGUUGGCAUCUGUGUUCACAAGUGGCUGGGCAGGGAGCUAAUGACACCAUCCACAGGUGCCUGUCAGCACAGCUGCAGAAUGACAGCCAUGAGAAACUAGAAGUGUCAGAAAAAAGAGGUGUGUGGUGGGGGGCCUCUCUAGGGCCAUCGUUAUUUUGUUUCCUUUUUAAAUCGCAUAUGCAGUAACGAGUUUGAUUCUGACGUUUCACUCGUUAAUAUGUCUUGAUCAUUUGAACUCCUGUUCACACCCAUGCUUUGUGAGCUAGUAUCUCUCGCAGCUCAGCUUCCCAGCACACACAGCCAGACCAUCCCCACUGGGGACUAGCUUUAUCUUGGGCCAAUGCUUCUGGGUGCCGGAAACACUAGGUAAGGAGGACAGUGAUGUCACCCACCGUCAAGACGGUGAUAGUGACCCUUGGUUGGCUGGGGUGUGGCAGUGGUGGGAAAACCCUAUCUCAGAAGUGUAAAAAAAAAAAAAAAAAA
rnacentral:lncRNA from 1 species